rnacentral:rRNA from 1 species
AAGUCAUACGGGAGGCAGCAGUGGGGAAUAUUGGGCAAUGGGCGAAAGCCUUACACAGCAAUACCGCGUGAGUGAAGAAGGUCAUCGGAUUGUAAAGCUCUUUGAUCAGGGACGAACAGAUGACGGUACCUGAAGAACAAGCCCCGGCUAACUACGUGCCAGCAGCCGCGGAAAAACGUAGGGGGCGAGCGUUGUCCGGAAUGACUGGGCGUACAGGGAGCGUAGGCGGCAUAAUAAGGUAGAAGU